UGAUAGCGUUGAAGCGUGAGGUUGCUGCAGGGCCGAAAGGCACUGCAGGUUUUCCGUGGAGCGAAUGUCAAGAGGCCGCGUAAGAUGGCCAAAGAACCUGACGGCAA
rnacentral:ncRNA from 1 species